GACCCAAGGUAAGUCUCACUUUGCAGUUUUAAAACCAGUCAUUUAUUUUCCUCUUUCCGCUAAAAACACUCCCUUUCCCUCACUCCCUCGCCCACGCUUAACACGCCAGUACGCCACCAGCUUUAGACCAGCAACCAUCUGAGACACCGCUAAACCAUGGGAAUGGGAUGCUUGCCCUCAGUAAGGACCUACUUGAUCAAAACAUGGAAUUUCCAAAGGUUCAAAUGAGGUAGGCGAGUGUAAAGGAUAAUCCUUCUCAGUAAAAUAUCUUAACAAAUUGGAUCCUCUAAAACAAUGUAAUAACCUUAGCGCAGUGUUACCAGAGGUAAUUAAUUAAUUUAUUCCACUGAAUUGUCCUUUUGGUAUAGAUGAACGUAAUAUUUGACGUUUCCAAAAUGUAAAUGUGAAAUUUUGUACAUCAGGUGGAAUACUGUCUUGAUUGAUGCAAGUAGAUAUAUUGUCUAUGCUCCUGGUGAAUGUGCCUUAUACGUUCACCACAAUUGAUUUGGCAACUUCUGUCGUAUAUGAUAUGCUUUAUCCCAUUGUUUUAAGACUUUAAGAGAUAUCUUCACCUUAUCAGAAGAAAAGGUGUGUGGUGGACUAAAGAAGUUCAUUUUUUUAUAUUAAGAUGUUCUGUGUCAUUUCCUUUGAACUCAAUUCCAGUGAAUGAAGACCACAUGUUGAUGCAUGUGUCAUGUUAUCUUAUGCUAGAAGAUCUGAAUUCUUUCGUUUAAAUAGGGAGUAUAACAACUAUCUUCAAUGUUAUAGGGAGUUUGGUUUAAACGUUCCUUUCCAGUUAAGCUCUCAAAUAUCACAAGUAACUCGUGAUGUCGUCACACAAUGCAACUGGUAUACAACUUUAGCUUGUCUUGUAAUUAGCUUUAUUC